CCUACGGGAGACUGCAGUAGGGAAUCUUUCACAAUGGGCGAAAGCCUGAUGGAGCAACGCCGCGUGCAGGAUGAAGGCCUUCGGGUUGUAAACUGCUUUUAUAAGCGAGAAAUAUGAUGGUAACUUAUGAAUAAGGAUCGGCUAACUACGUGCCAGCAGCCGCGGUCAUACGUAGGAUCUGAGCAUUAUCCGGAGUGACUGGGUGUAAAGAGUUGCGUAGGUGGCAUAAUAAGUAGCUAGUGAAAUCUGGUGGCUCAACCAUUCAGACUAUUAGCUAAACUGUUAAGCUCGAGACCGUUAGGGGUAACUGGAAUUUCUAGUGUAGGAGUGAAAUCCGUAGAUAUUAGAAGGAACACCAAUAGCGUAGGCAGGUUGCUGGGACGGUUCUGACACUAAGGCACGAAAGCGUAGGGAGCAAACGGGAUUAGAUACCCGUGUAGUC
rnacentral:rRNA from 1 species